CCUACGGGAGGCUGCAGUCGAGAAUCAUUCACAAUGGGGGAAACCCUGAUGGUGCGACGCCGCGUGGGGGAAUGAAGGUCUUUGGAUUGUAAACCUCUGUCAUGUGGGAGCAAAUUAAAAAGAUAGUACCACAAGAGAAAGAGACGGCUAACGCUGUGCCAGCAGCCGCGGUAAUACAGAGGUCUCAAGCGUUGUUCGGAAUCACUGGGCGUAAAGUGUGCGUAGGCUGUUUCGUAAGUCGUGUGUGAAAGGCGCGGGCUCAACCCGCGGACGGCACAUGAUACUGGGAGACUAGAGUAAUGGAGGGGGAUGCGGAAUUCGUGGUGUAGCAGUGAAAUGCGUAGAUAUCGAGAGGAACACUGGUGGCGAAGGCGGGUUCCUGGACAGUAACUGACGCUGAAGCACGAAGGCGAGGGGAGCGAAAGGGAUUAGAUACCCUAGUAGUC
rnacentral:rRNA from 1 species